GACGAACGCUGGCGGCGUGCUUAACACAUGCAAGUCGAACGGACAGACAGAGAGCUUGCUCUCUUGAAGUUAGUGGCGAACGGGUGAGUAACGCGUAAUCAACCUGCCCUUCAGAGGGGGAUAACAACGGGAAACCGUUGCUAAUACCGCGUACGAUUCAUGAACGGCAUCGUUUAUGAAUGAAAGGUGGCCUCUAUGUAUAAGCUAUCUCUGAAGGAGGGGAUUGCGUCUGAUUAGCUAGUUGGAGGGGUAACGGCCCACCAAGGUAAUGAUCAGUAGCCGGUCUGAGAGGAUGAACGGCCACAUUGGGACUGAGACACGGCCCAAACUCCUACGGGAGGCAGCAGUGGGGAAUCUUCCGCAAUGGACGAAAGUCUGACGGAGCAACGCCGCGUGAGUGAUGAAGGUCUUCGGAUUGUAAAGCUCUGUUAAUCGGGACGAAAGAGUUCUGCGUGAAUAAUGCAGAAAAGUGACGGUACCAGAAUAGAAAGCCACGGCUAACUACGUGCCAGCCGCCGCGGUAA
rnacentral:rRNA from 1 species